rnacentral:lncRNA from 1 species
CCAGCUGACAAGUCUCUGGCCCGCCACAGACGCGCCUGCGCCCCGCAACCAAGACCGGGCAUACCAAAAGUCUGAGAGGAGGCUUGUUGGAAACUACCCCUCACUGAGCCGUUCUUAUGGCAACCGAGCCGGAGCGAUAAACACUCUCCCGCGCGAGCGGACAAGGGCAGGAAGCGGAGAGCGGACUCGCCGGGCGCCUCACCUGUAGCCACAGCUGAGAAGACUCACCUGGGUUGCCUGGCGCCCUUGGGAGCCGCUGCUAUAACCACGCCAUGGGGUGCUCGAGCAGCGCUCAGACCAAAGUCAAGGAGUUCGGCCGACAAACUCCCAAAUCCCCGGAGACCAACGGAUUGUCCCAGUGCGAUGACAGCUUGCCUAUCACAGAUAAAAAUGACACAGAAUCUGACCAGACUAAACUUGAACCCCUAGAGGAGGAGAAGCUUGGAUCUUCUUGGAAAAAAACAGAUGAGGAUCUCUGUAAAGAGGAGCCUGAUGCUUUGAUUCAGGAAAUAACAAAAUGUGACCUUUCUACCUGUCACAGAGUAGAUCCUGAGGGUACAGAGCCUCAGCUAACAGCACCAGAAGAAAAGUUUGACAGAAGUCAGUGCUUAUCUUUAGACUUCCUUGAAGCUGCUGGGUCUCAGGCUGUGAAGUCAACAGAGUUGGCUAGCAAUCCUCAAGUUGCCACAGAAGCUGCUGGUUCUUCACAUUUAGAAUCUCUCCAGGAUAAGAAGCCUGAACCUACUGAAACCUCAGAAGGGGGCACACCUGAGCCUUCAACAGAGGAAAUCCGAUGUUUUGUAAGAGAAAUUGUGACAGAACUGCUUGUGGAUGAAGAGGAACAACUAACAGAGGUUACUGUCCCAGGUGAGGCAGGAGAAAAGGUGGAAACUGAGACGCACCAUGAGGUAAUACCUGGGGCCUCGGAAACAAAAGAAGAAACCAGAGAAGCUACACUGGUCACGGAGAUAAAACAAGCUAAUGAAGAAUGACCCAGGGUUUCUGGCUGGACUUCAUGGCUAAACUUUAUGGCUUCUGGCUGGACCUUAUCCUUGUUCGCUCAGUUAAAAUGUAUAUUCCUGUUUGACAAAAAUCUAGUUGUUAUAAAAGCUUGUAUAAACUUAUCACAACUACUGAAUACUAAGUGAAAACCAUUUUAAGAAAUUUUAAUGGAAAAAUCAAGUUGCCAAGGCACCACUGAGGAACUGCAUUGUUAAACCAUCACACCUGCCAGAAAGUGCCUCCUGCUAUUGUUUCAAUGGAACUACAAAUUGCAGAACACUCUUACUUGCUUUAGGUAGAAAAUAAAUAUGAAGGAUAAUAUAGCA